rnacentral:rRNA from 1 species
GAUGAACGCUGGCGGCGUGCCUAAUACAUGCAAGUCGAGCGAACGGACGAGAAGCUUGCUUCUCUGAUGUUAGCGGCGGACGGGUGAGUAACACGUGGAUAACCUACCUAUAAGACUGGGAUAACUUCGGGAAACCGGAGCUAAUACCGGAUAAUAUUUUGAACCGCAUGGUUCAAAAGUGAAAGACGGUCUUGCUGUCACUUAUAGAUGGAUCCGCGCUGCAUUAGCUAGUUGGUAAGGUAACGGCUUACCAAGGCAACGAUGCAUAGCCGACCUGAGAGGGUGAUCGGCCACACUGGAACUGAGACACGGUCCAGACUCCUACGGGAGGCAGCAGUAGGGAAUCUUCCGCAAUGGGCGAAAGCCUGACGGAGCAACGCCGCGUGAGUGAUGAAGGUCUUCGGAUCGUAAAACUCUGUUAUUAGGGAAGAACAUAUGUGUAAGUAACUGUGCACAUCUUGACGGUACCUAAUCAGAAAGCCACGGCUAACUACGUGCCAGCAGCCGCGGUAAUACGUAGGUGGCAAGCGUUAUCCGGAAUUAUUGGGCGUAAAGCGCGCGUAGGCGGUUUUUUAAGUCUGAUGUGAAAGCCCACGGCUCAACCGUGGAGGGUCAUUGGAAACUGGAAAACUUGAGUGCAGAAGAGGAAAGUGGAAUUCCAUGUGUAGCGGUGAAAUGCGCAGAGAUAUGGAGGAACACCAGUGGCGAAGGCGACUUUCUGGUCUGUAACUGACGCUGAUGUGCGAAAGCGUGGGGAUCAAACAGGAUUAGAUACCCUGGUAGUCCACGCCGUAAACGAUGAGUGCUAAGUGUUAGGGGGUUUCCGCCCCUUAGUGCUGCAGCUAACGCAUUAAGCACUCCGCCUGGGGAGUACGACCGCAAGGUUGAAACUCAAAGGAAUUGACGGGGACCCGCACAAGCGGUGGAGCAUGUGGUUUAAUUCGAAGCAACGCGAAGAACCUUACCAAAUCUUGACAUCCUUUGACAACUCUAGAGAUAGAGCCUUCCCCUUCGGGGGACAAAGUGACAGGUGGUGCAUGGUUGUCGUCAGCUCGUGUCGUGUGAUGUUGGGUUAAGUCCCGCAACGAGCGCAACCCUUAAGCUUAGUUGCCAUCAUUAAGUUGGGCACUCUAAGUUGACUGCCGGUGACAAACCGGAGGAAGGUGGGGAUGACGUCAAAUCAUCAUGCCCCUUAUGAUUUGGGCUACACACGUGCUACAAUGGACAAUACAAAGGGCAGCGAAACCGCGAGGUCAAGCAAAUCCCAUAAAGCUGUUCUCAGUUCGGAUUGUAGUCUGCAACUCGACUACAUGAAGCUGGAAUCGCUAGUAAUCGUAGAUCAGCAUGCUACGGUGAAUACGUUCCCGGGUCU